UUUCCCAUUCACGCUUUCACACUCACACAUCUUGCUCUUGCUCUUCCCCUUGCCUUAUCCCCUAUCCCACUCCAAAAUUGCUGCCGCCGGUAGCUCCCAUCAGCUUGAUUCCCUGAUUCAGUGCCUUGAGCUUGCUCGUCCUCACCUACAGCCAGCCCCGCAGCUUGAUUCAUUUGUGCGGCCAUAGCGUGACCUUCGACGGCGGCUGGUUUGUCUCUUGAUCUCCUCGUACGCCUCCUCGGUCUCCUCCUAGGCUGGUAAACGUCGAUGGAGUGGUAGGAGGGCCCAAGGUGCAGCUGCUCAAGGGAGGAGGCGAGAUCAUCAAUCUGCACGAUGUUGUUGCUGUCAAUGUCCGUGCAGGUGAUGUUGGCGUGGAUUUCGUCUCCCACAACUGCUUUGAUCCAUCUUUAGUAUCAGGAUGGUGGAGAUGUUUUCUGCCCCUAGAGCGCCAGCCAGACGCAUCCUCCACAUCGGCAACAUUCUUCGAAGUUUGAAGGUCCGUUUUUUUCCUUUUCCUGGCUGUCAUAUUUACUUUUCAUAACCCCUUCCUUUGUUUGUGUGAUUGAACUAAUAUAACGUAAUUAAGGAAAUGCCUCUUAGUGAAAAAUGUAGAAAUCUUGGAAAAACAUGUGAUUAUUUUUUAAGGUCUCUAUAAGUGUUAAUUAGAUAGAUUUCAAUUAGUGAGUGAAAUUAAAAAGAAAUUUAAGUAUAUGUCUGCACACACAUGAUAACUCAAUCAACGACGCUUUUGUCAUCGGCAUUCAUGUAAGCGAUGCGCUUGCUUCUAUCUUGCUUACUGUGAGGUCCGUAGGGGUGUUGUCAUCCCCAAGUUCCAAGUCGGACACGACAUCACAGUCCCAAAGUGAGGCAGCCCAAAAAUUUUGUCUUCGUCAUCGACAAAGGCAGCGCGGCUUGGUCAUCGAAUAUUUUCACCCGCAUGUCUUCAGAUGACUAAUACCUACCAAAAUAAAGUUUUAAACCAUAGGAUAAACUAACCUGACAUAUGUACCCCAGUCUACAUGAUGUAUAGCUUAUUGUGGAAACAUGCACUAAAUAUGCUUUGAUUAAUGUCAUGUGCCUAUUAAGGUGAGAAGCAUGCACGGUCCGGAAUCUAAAAAUAAACAUGGAUUGGUACCCAUCAAUAGACUUCUUAUAGAAUAGAAUUGACCACAACCAUAUGGAUGUACAUGGAAAGCAACAUAGCACCAUCUCUCUUUGAAAUAGCAGUAUUUAUUGGAAAUUUACAUUUGGUGCACUCUAAUGAGCCAAUAAAAGUUGUGUAAAUCUGUAUAUAGCACACUUUUCAAACUCUAAUGCAAGGUGGUAACAAGCAUUUAAUAUUUAACAUUUAUGGGAAUGUUAGGAACGAAAAAUGGAAGAUAAUAUUGUGCAAGUCUAGACUAUGCAUCCCUCCAAAUAAAGGAAAGAUCCUGGGCACAACUUCUAAAUGCAUAGGUGUAUGUUCCAGUUUUUAUGAGUUGCAAAACCGCAAAUACUAAAAAAAAAAUAUUUCAACUGUAACUGAAUUUUCUUUGUCACUGAAUUUCUUUUAUGAUCUGAAUCUCUAGUUGAGAAAAGUUCACUGAAGUUACGAAAAGCAUUGCAUUAUGUCAGCCAUUUCAUAUUGAAAUGCCAAAAGAAGUGUUUUAUAGCCACGUACAUGUACCUAUCGUUUAGUUAAGGUGGAUCAUAGAUCUUUGGGGUUUGAUCACCAUGGACGUUACAAUUGGCAUGAGCUUAAACAUAUAUGCUCACCUCCAGGAACAAAGUCAGGGGUGUGUGUGUGUAUUCUAGUGUAUAGUUACAGGAAAAAUAACUUGGGCAUACCUUUUAGAAAGGAGUGGACAAAGUGCUUCGAGUGCCCAGAGUUGGCAUCUAAACAGGAAAAAAUGGAUGGAUAAUUUUAUAUCUAGUAAAUAAAAGAACUAUGCCCAAUCUCCAAGAUAAAUCAUCUUUCACAACCAAGCUUUAGCCAAUGCAAAUAGAGCAUCAUUAACAUGGACCGAUCCAAUAAAUAGAUAAUUGAUAUUUUAAUAAAUAUACUUAAGGAGGGCAGCCUAGUUUUUACAUUAAUGUAAUUAUCUCUAAAGGCAGAAAUUGAUAUUUCCAUAUUAAAUGGAUUAUGAUUUAGAAGGUAGAUCCAGGUAAAUAUGCGACCACAUAACACCUUGUGAAAAGAUCAUCAUUUUGAAGAUUUACCAACAUAAAGCCAUCAUUGUAUUGCAUCAUACACAGGGUGAAAUUAAUAGAAUAGUUACCUUGUCUGAUCCAGAACAUAUGUAAAGUAGCCAACCCUUGCACACCCUUCCUUAUAAAUAAUCUCGAGAAUAAAAAUUGCUAUUGAAACCGUGCUGGUAUAAAUCAAGUGUAGCCCUGUGUUUUGGCGCCAACAAUGUUCAUUGUGUUACAGUGCAUGGAUUGAAAAGGCCUGAAAGUGUUUUCUAGUUCUACAGUAUUAGCAAUUGAUUCUUGAUUGAUGUUAUGUGUUCCUACAGAAAAUUCUCUGUUAGAAUCGAAGCAUUGAUACUAACAAUUUGACGAACACUUGCAGUGUGUUGCCUAACUGGGAACUAUUGGAUGUGGGGAGAGAAGAAACUUUACCUUGUUGUUGACCGAAAACAGUAGUAAAGCUCCAACCUCUAGGUAAAUAUCAUCCUUGACGAAGAGGUCGAAUUCUGGCCACUUAUAGGGUCUGUGUAUGGUGUGUAUCUCAAGUUCCAACUCUCACCUGAUUGGUCUUCUAAUCUCGCUCUAGCUGGCUGACAGGAGAAUUCAUAUGUUAAUAACAAUGCUCCAAGAGCAAUCCAACCAUCCAAGGCAUAUGGUUUUGGAGAUCAGCUGUUUGCAAAUACGGAAGGAAAAAUACCUUAUAACAGCUAGCUGUGGGGUGAAAGCAGAUGUGGUUUUGGAGAUCAGCAGUUUGCAAAUAUGGAAGGGAAAAUACCUUAUAGCAGCUAGCGGUGGGGUGAAAGUAGAUUGCAAUUUGAUUGCAAUAUUUUUUAUUCAGUUAUGUUUGCACGUGGCUGUACCACAUCAAAACUGAUUGAACCUUCCUAAUCUCGUCGCAAUUCUUUUGCCCUAUUUGCCAUACAUGCCUAUCUCUUGUGUAUUCAUUGAUUAAUUUUUGUUGAGCGUCCUGGCUACCAAUCUAUCCUGCUUAGUAGUUGAUCCUAUUAAUAAGGGACAAAAUAGAAGUAACAAUGCAGGGAAGAACAAUAGCAUACCUAGUCAUCAAGGCCGGAUUCCUGUAUGCACACUGGGCGGCAGAGAGCGAACGGCAUGGGUGGGGAGGGGAAUGAUAUGUUUGAGGUUGAGGAUGCAUGGUCAGCCCGAGGGGAGGCUCGAUCAAUCUCGGCAGUUACCCCAUCGUCCGGCGUGGCUUCCAUGGGGGCAUGGAGGCGAUGAUUUUUAUCUUUAGGAAACGAUUAAUUUCUGUUCUUUUUAUAGGGAAUAUAGAUAUUCUUCUGUUAGGAUAGCGAUGAGAUUUGGAUGUGAGUUUGUUUUUUUAGUGAAAAGAUAUGGGAAGUGAGAUAUGUACGUGAUGGAUGUGAGGUUGUUUUUUUAAGUAAAAAGAUAUGGACCUGAUAUUGUUUUUUUGUUGUUGAAAAAGGUGAAUUGUUAAUCAGUUUUUUUAGUGAAUUGGUAGGAUAUGUAAUGGCAAAGGUGGGUAAUUAAUUUUCCUUUGGUUAGAUCGGACGAUUGUAAUUUUUUGUCUACUAAAAUAAAUGGCCAGCUGUUU
rnacentral:lncRNA from 1 species